rnacentral:rRNA from 1 species
UUGGACCUACGGGGGGCAGCAGUAGGGAAUCUUCCACAAUGGGCGCAAGCCUGAUGGAGCAACACCGCGUGAGUGAAGAAGGGUUUCGGCUCGUAAAGCUCUGUUGUUGGAGAAGAACGUGCGUGAGAGUAACUGUUCACGCAGUGACGGUAUCCAACCAGAAAGUCACGGCUAACUACGUGCCAGCAGCCGCGGUAAUACGGAGGUGGCAAACGUUAUCCGGAUUUAUUGGGCGUAAA